ensembl:lncRNA OGFRP1 opioid growth factor receptor pseudogene 1
AGUGAAGAAAUGGAGGCCCAGAGUCACUUAGAAGAUGCUCGAAGGUGCACAGCUGCUAAGUGGUGGUGCUGGGAUUUGUCCUCAGGUCCUCAAGAGUCCUGACUCUUAUGUGCUGGCUCCCCACGGAGGCGUGGAGUCUUGUUUGCUGGGCAUUUGACAGAAAUGUUUCUGCUCAUCUUCUGCCACAGUGACUCGGGGAUAGCUGCCCUGAUGCCAAGGCGAUUGUCUUCUGGAAGCAGCCACGCCGUGUGAGGUUCCUCAUCACUGCCCUGCAUCUCCCUGCGAGCUCUCGGGGAUAAUUGCAAAAUCACGUUUGAUUCCAGGGGAGCAGAAAGCAGCAGGAGCCGUGAAUUCUCCAACUCUUAACUGGUCCUCGACUGGAGCCACUUUUCCCUGCCCACCCAUCCCUGUGGCGGAUUCAUUACAGUUAUCCAAAGCCGGUUUUAACUUUGCUCCCCCUGGCUCAGAAGUCUGUCAGUGGGUCCUGAGCGGCUUCACCAUUCAAGUUUAUUCCUAUCAGCCUGGAAUACAAUGCUCUAUCUGGC